rnacentral:lncRNA from 1 species
CACCAUGAAGGAGGACCUGGAGACCCUGCUGGCCUCGGAACAGGCCAAUAUAAUAGCCAAGUACCAUCAAGGUGAGGCCCAGAGAGCGCGCAGAGAUGCUGGAGCGCCCACUAGAGGAAAUGAAGGAGGAGCCUGAGGUCUCUUCCCCAAAACCAAACAGAUCGCCCUGAACGUGAACAAGACCUUCCGCAGCCACAUGGUGUUCUGGGACCGCUGUGGGGUCAGGUGAGGCUGCCGGCCAAGCUGGGUUCUGGGGGCUCCAGGGACACUCCGGGGUCCAGGGGAUGCCCAGGGGCUUCUGGGUGGGGAACACGGGGGCUCUGAGGAGAGGGGGAGGGAGGGCAGCAAACCAUACUGUCUCGUGGUAAAGUGAUUAGGACGACCCCUUAUCCCCUCGGGGUCUGUUGAUGACGAGGGCGCAGGACAGGCCUCCCGGUGUCACUGUGUGAGCUGAACCCCACCGGGUGACAUAGAACUUCCCUGUGAAGAGCAGGGCUCAGGGUCGGGGGCCAUAGGGGAGCAGUGAGGGACCCUGGGGCGGGCAGCACAGCUGCAGAGGGACCAGGACACAGGUGGACCAAAUGAGGUCAGACAGGUAAACGUGACCACAUUUGGUGUUUCUAUGUAUUUUGAAUUUUUUAAUUUUAUUUUAGACAAUCUGCAUUGUCUGUUAGCGUGAAUAGUGUGAUGACCCCCCGAUGCCGUCCCUGUCCACCUGGGGACCUGCGCUCACCACAUGGGUCCCCAGUUGCAAGUGUGUUACAGAAACCCCAGACCUGGGGGGAUGUACCUAUGGUCGUUCUCGGAUGUAUCUUAGAAAACAGGGAUACCCUGUGUGUGCAUCCUCCCAACAUCCCCACCACGCCAUCCCCCCAUACCAUCCCCCCUCUCCCUCCCCCCACCUCCCCCAUGAUAUCCCCCUCCAUCCCUGCAAACCAUCACCUCCAUACCUCCUCCCCACACCAUCUCCCCACCAUCCCCCCAAACCUUCCUCUCCACGUCAUCCCCCCGCCAUCCCCCACGCCACAUCUCCCAUGUGUUCCCCCCUACUCCACCCACGCUAUCCACCCCCAUUCCCUCCAAACCAUCCCCUCCACAGUAUCCCUCACAGCAUCCCCCAGAGCAUUCCCCCCACCAUCCCCCCACGCCAUCCCCCCACAUCAUUACCUGCCCCCUCAAACAAUGUGGUGCAGCUGCUUAGUGUGGGGCAUGUUCGCGCCUCCCUGGCCACCUUACAGCCUCUGAGGCCGUCCCAUCAGAAGCCCGGGUGUCCUGCUAGUCUCCAGGGACCCAGUAGGAGGGAGAGGACAGCAGUGGCGCCCGGACAGGGUGGGUGCAGGUGCACGGAGCGGAGGCUGGAGCUCCGUGUGUGCAGCGUGCGGAGGCCGGCGGUGCGUGUCAGAGGGGCGCGGGGACGGGCUGAGGAGCCGCCGGCAGGGGUGCCUGAGCUUCCCGGGGGGCCGCUUGGACCUCUCACUGAGAGACACCGAGGCUCCUCCACUGAGGGGGUGUGUUGUACCCCUGACCUGGUGACCCUGUGUCGCCCUUGGGCCUCAGAGUGCGGCGGGGUCAGGCUGACCUGUGACCCCUGGUCCCCGGUGAGGCAGCCUCCAGCAGGCCUGGCAGGGGGGCAGUGGGAGUUGGGGGUACAGACUCGUGCAGGCGGGGGUCAGGAAAUGCUGAAACGGGACCUCACCGCUCACCCAUAUUGCUCAGAGAUAGUGACCCAACUGCUUCGAAUCUUUUAUCUGUGUCAAACCUGCAUGAACGCUCCCGGCAUUCUCACCACGGCUGCAACCCGGAGGCACCCGAGAUGCUCCUGGAUGAGCGGCACGAGGUCCUUAACACAGAGGCCAGGACAAGGAAUAGAUGUGCACUGGCAUUUACACCCCCAGGGAGUUCCUUCAGUGUUUCAUCGACCAGGUAAGGCCACCCAAGGACCCCUACUCCCUGACCAACUGUCUGACCCCAGGAAGGGCCGAGCUCAGCCCCAGCCUCCAGACAAGUCAGGUCCGACCCCUGAACCCUGGAGUCUGAGGCUCACAGCCCAGACCCACCCUGGAGAAGCCCGAGGGUCCCUUGAGGAGUUUCCUGGGGGCCAGACUAUCUCUGCCUCAGCUUCCCCAGGGAAGGCCAGGUCAGCCUGGGGUGUGGAUGAGCCCUUGGCCCAUUGCACCCAGCCUGGGGUCCACCUGGGGUAUGUGGUCACCAAGCGGGGGCCUUGUCUGAUGCAGCCAGGGCGGCGGCAGGGGAUGUGGGCCAAUGGGAGCCCCUAA